GACGAACGCUGGCGGCGUGCCUAAUACAUGCAAGUAGAACGCUGAAGAGAGGAGCUUGCUCUUCUUGGAUGAGUUGCGAACGGGUGAGUAACGCGUAGGUAACCUGCCUUGUAGCGGGGGAUAACUAUUGGAAACGAUAGCUAAUACCGCAUAACAAUGGAUGACACAUGUCAUUUAUUUGAAAGGGGCAAUUGCUCCACUACAAGAUGGACCUGCGUUGUAUUAGCUAGUAGGUGAGGUAACGGCUCACCUAGGCGACGAUACAUAGCCGACCUGAGAGGGUGAUCGGCCACACUGGGACUGAGACACGGCCCAGACUCCUACGGGAGGCAGCAGUAGGGAAUCUUCGGCAAUGGGGGCAACCCUGACCGAGCAACGCCGCGUGAGUGAAGAAGGUUUUCGGAUCGUAAAGCUCUGUUGUAAGUCAAGAACGAGUGUGAGAGUGGAAAGUUCACACUGUGACGGUAGCUUACCAGAAAGGGACGGCUAACUACGUGCCAGCAGCCGCGGUAAUACGUAGGUCCCGAGCGUUGUCCGGAUUUAUUUGGGCGUAAGCGAGCGCAGGCGGUUUGAUAAGUCUGAAGUUAAGGCUGUGGCUCAACCAUAGUUCGCUUUGGAAACUGUCAAACUUGAGUGCAGAAGGGGAGAGUGGAAUUCCAUGUGUAGCGGUGAAAUGCGUAGAUAUAUGGAGGAACACCGGUGGCGAAAGCGGCUCUCUGGUCUGUAACUGACGCUGAGGCUCGAAAGCGUGGGGAGCGAACAGGAUUAGAUACCCUGGUAGUCCACGCCGUAAACGAUGAGUGCUAGGUGUUGGAUCCUUUCCGGGAUUCAGUGCCGCAGCUAACGCAUUAAGCACUCCGCCUGGGGAGUACGACCGCAAGGUUGAAACUCAAAGGAAUUGACGGGGGCCCGCACAAGCGGUGGAGCAUGUGGUUUAAUUCGAAGCAACGCGAAGAACCUUACCAGGUCUUGACAUCCCGAUGCUAUUUCUAGAGAUAGAAAGUUACUUCGGUACAUCGGUGACAGGUGGUGCAUGGUUGUCGUCAGCUCGUGUCGUGAGAUGUUGGGUUAAGUCCCGCAACGAGCGCAACCCCUAUUGUUAGUUGCCAUCAUUCAGUUGGGCACUCUAGCGAGACUGCCGGUAAUAAACCGGAGGAAGGUGGGGAUGACGUCAAAUCAUCAUGCCCCUUAUGACCUGGGCUACACACGUGCUACAAUGGUUGGUACAACGAGUUGCGAGUCGGUGACGGCAAGCUAAUCUCUUAAAGCCAAUCUCAGUUCGGAUUGUAGGCUGCAACUCGCCUACAUGAAGUCGGAAUCGCUAGUAAUCGCGGAUCAGCACGCCGCGGUGAAUACGUUACCCGGGCCU
rnacentral:rRNA from 1 species